UACGUAGGGGACGAGCGUUGUCCGGAAUUACUGGGCGUAAAGGGCGCGCAGGCUGCGUUACAAGUCAGCUGUUAAAUGCAUGGGCUUACCCCAUGAGUGCGGUUGAAACUGUAGUGCUAGAGUACUGUAGAGGCAAGCGGAAUUCCCAGUGUAGCGGUGAAAUGCGUAGAUAUUGGGAGGAACACCGGUGGCGUAGGCGGCUUGCUGGACAGUAACUGACGCUGAGGCGCGAAAGCCAGGGGAGCAAACGGGAUUAGAUACCCCCGUA
rnacentral:rRNA from 1 species